GACGAACGCUGGCGGCGUGCCUAAUACAUGCAAGUAGAACGCUGAAGAGAGGAGCUUGCUCUUCUUGGAUGAGUUGCGAACGGGUGAGUAACGCGUAGGUAACCUGCCUGGUAGCGGGGGAUAACUAUUGGAAACGAUAGCUAAUACCGCAUGAAAUUGCUUAUCGCAUGAUAAUUAAUUGAAAGAUGCAAUUGCAUCACUACCAGAUGGACCUGCGUUGUAUUAGCUAGUUGGUGAGGUAACGGCUCACCAAGGCGACGAUACAUAGCCGACCUGAGAGGGUGAUCGGCCACACUGGGACUGAGACACGGCCCAGACUCCUACGGGAGGCAGCAGUAGGGAAUCUUCGGCAAUGGGGGGAACCCUGACCGAGCAACGCCGCGUGAGUGAAGAAGGUUUUCGGAUCGUAAAGCUCUGUUGUAAAGAGAAAGAAACGGGUGUG
rnacentral:rRNA from 1 species